GACGAACGCUGGCGGCGUGCUUAACACAUGCAAGUCGAACGGAAAGGCCCUGCUUUUGUGGGGUGCUCGAGUGGCGAACGGGUGAGUAACACGUGAGUAACCUGCCCUUGACUUUGGGAUAACUUCAGGAAACUGGGGCUAAUACCGGAUAGGAGCUCCUGCUGCAUGGGGGGGGUUGGAAAGUUUCGGCGGUAGGGGCUGGACUCGCGGCUUAUCAGCUUGUUGGUGGGGUAGUGGCUUACCAAGGCUUUGACGGGUAGCCGGCCUGAGAGGGUGGCCGGCCACAUUGCGACUGAGGUACGGCGCAGACUCCUACGUGAGGCAGCAGUGGGGAAUAUUGCAGAAUGGGGGGAAGCCUGAUGCAGCAACGCCGCGUGCGGGAUGACGGCCUUCGGGUUAUAAACCGCUUUCGCCUGUGCCGAAGCGUGAGUGACGGUAAUGGGUAAAGAAGCACCGGCUAACUACGUG
rnacentral:rRNA from 1 species